rnacentral:lncRNA from 1 species
GGCAACCUGCUCGGGUCCCCUGCCACACUAUGGAAGCUUUGUUCUUUUGCUCUUUGCAAUAAAUCUUGCUACUGCUUACUCUUUGGGUCCACACUGCCUUCAUGAGCUGUAACACUCACCGGGAAGGUCUGCAACUUCACUCCUGAGCCAGCGAGACCACGAGCCCACUGGAAGGAACAAACUCCCGCACGCCGCCUUUAAGAACUGUAACACUCACAGAGAGGGCCCGCGGCUUCAUUCCCGAAGUCAGUGAGACCAAGAACCAACCAAUUCCGGGCACGUUUCUUUUUCUGCAUCCGCUGCUCUGUUAAGUGAUCACCACAUUCAUUGUUCUCGUUUCUAUUAUUUCUGAAAAAAAUCUUCAGGAUUCUGCUUGUGGGAGUGGAUGACAUUUUUACAGUGUUUACAGGCUGAAAAUUUUUCGAGCUUUUAUGCUCUGCUUCCGUUAUAAGGAGGAGGCCUCACAAUCCUGGUGGAAGGCAAGGAGGAGCAAGUCACAUCUUAUGUGGAUGGCAGCAGGCAAAGAAAGCUUAUGCAGACACAAAAUGAACAAGAUGUCUGUGGCAACCCUCAGACCAUUGACGCCUUCUCUCCUAUGUAUCAAAUCACACAUUUGGACGUUGACUGAACCCUCACAUGUCAGAUGCUCAAUAUUGAGGUAUAGUAAAAGGGAGCAUGAACUUGAGAAAAUACGCUUUCAACACAAAGCUGUAAUAAUAUAAGGUCAAAUAAGAUUCUGCAUUGGAGAUAGAAAACUCUGAAGGAAGCUUUAUCUAUUCCAGAAUGUCAUAUAGCUGGUAUAAGAAAGAACACUAAUCAUUCCUAAGGAAGAAAAUUAACAACGCCGUGAGUUAUAAUAUCUGGCUGAAACUGAAGGAGCUCUGUGUAAUUAAAAGUCCUUUCUGCCCUGCCUGGCCAUGGUUCUGUAUGCAUUGAUGUCUUACAAACUGAAAAAAAAAAAAGUUAUUUUCUCAUCUCCAUUCCCUAGCAUAGACAUAUUACAUGAUGUGGAAUUGAAACAAGAAAAUUGCAUUUUAAUCUUCCACUCAGAACAUAGAAGAAUGAAACAAACAAACAAAAAAUACUCUGUUGUCUUAGUCUACCACAAGCAAAAUCUGGCAGUCUCUUUGCUUUGGUAAUGGCAUAAAUUCCUUGAUUAGCCUAUAGGAUAGCCCAUUGUUCUGCUCUUUUAGUGGAAUAGCUAGCAAUUGCUUUGUCAUUUUUUCCCCAUGGUUCCUACCAUUAGUGUUGGGAGGUUUCUUCUUUGUUUUUUUGAGAAAGAGGAAAAAGUUGUUAUAUUUUCAUAAAAACUUAAAUUUCAUCCAAAAUACUUGAUUUUCAUGAAGAAAGUAAAUAUCUCUGCC